rnacentral:tRNA from 1 species
GGGCCCGUAGCUCAGUUGGCAGAGCAGCGGCCUUUUAAGCCGUUGGUCGCAGGUUCGAUUCCUGCCGGGCUCA